AACAUAUUUUUAUACCAUAUUUUUAUACCAUAGUUUACUAAUUUUUAUUUUAAUUUUUUUUUUUGUAAGUCAUAAAAUAUAAAUGGAUAUAAAACUGUUACAUAUAUAUAUAUAUAUAUAUAUAUAAAAGAAAAAUGCAAGUUUAUUCACUCUACAUGUAAACAUAUAUACAGAGAUAUAUACAUAUAUUAAUGUCACCUACUUAAAAAAAAAAAAAAAAAACAAUGCUCUAUUCUCAUUUUGACCCAACGCUGUUUUUAUUUAUUUUUUAUUUUUUUAUUUUUUUUUAAAUUAGCUAACAGAAAAGAUAGAAAAAAACAUGAUUAUACAAGUAAUGAAAUGAGAAGUAGGAAGAACAUAUGUUCGGCAACAUUUAAUCCUGAUUAUACAAAAAAAAAAAAAAUAAAUAACUCUGUUGUUGAUCAUAAAAACGAAAGUAGCAAGAUUUUAGAAUGUAUAGAACUAAAUGAUCAUAAUUAUAACACUUUAAUAAAAAAAGAAAAGUGCUAUUUAAUUUACGGAUAUGCUGAUUAUUCAUAUAGAAGUUUAUCAAUAUAUACAAAAUUACUUUCUAUCGAUUUUCCAAAAAAAAUAAUUAAUAAAGGUGCAGAUGAUUAUAAAAAAAUACCAUUAUAUAAAGUCAAUAUAAAUAAUAAUAAUUUAUUAGUUCAAAACUUUCAUAUCAAAUCUAUUCCUUUAAUACAAUUAAGAUAUAAAAAUAAAUUAGUGGAUGAGUUAUCAGGAGAUGAGUUAAAUAAUGAAAAAAAUAUAAAAAAUAUAUUAAAAAGAUGUUAUAACAAUUAUUUCCAUUCGUUGCAAAUUGUUGAUAAUAUAAAUGACUUUCUAAAUAGAGAACAUGAACUUUUAAACGAUCAAGAUAUACAAAAUGUUGAAAAAAGGGACAUUGCUUUGAGGGAAAAUGAGGUUCUAUUUGAUACACUUAUAAAUAGGAACGACAGUGACAGCAAAAAUAUUUACGAUAAUAAAACCGAUAUAAAUCAAAACUUUGUUCAGAACGAACUACUAAACAAACUCGAACUAAAAUACCAAUGUUCCACUUAUGUUACUUUUAAAAAACUAGAAAUGUUAUUAAACGAAGAAAAAGAAAGAAAAAAAAAAUUAUACAUGUUGAAUGACAAUAACGAUACAUUACAAACACAUCACAGUAGUCAUGAUAAUGUAAAUCAAACAGACUCAUGCGAUAAAAAUAAAAACACAAUCUUAAUAAAAUCCUUUUUAAAUGAAAUAAUUAAUAACAAUAAAACAUACUUAGAUAUAAACCAUCAUUAUAAUAAAAUAACAGCACAAGCUUUUCUUUUUUUAUUUGACCAAGAAGAACUAUCAUCAAUCGAAAAAGUAUUAACUCUUAUAAAUUUUGUAAAAAAUUAUAAUGAAAAUUGGAUAAAUACAGAAAAUAUUAAAUUUAUACAUUUUAAUGAACCUAUUAUUGUAUUUGAUGAUUUUAAAAAUAUACAUUUGAAAGGAUUUAAUAAUAUUGAUCAGUUUUUAUCACAAAAAGAGACAGUAGAUGAAGCUGGUUGUCAAGACUCACUACCACACACAAUUACACAAGAACAUUCAACAGAAAUUACAAAUUCAGACAAUAAUAACACAAUCUCAAACACACAAAUAAAAUAUUUAAGUAGAUUAUAUAGAAUAUUAUCAGUAAAGUAUUUAUUUAUUGAAGAUUAUCCAAAAUCAUUGCAUUAUGCAUUGUUGUCAUAUAAGGACACAUUUUUUUUGAAUAAUAUAGAUAGUAAAAAAUCGAAAGUGUUAAUUGAAAAUAUGAUUCUGUACUUAGGUGCAUAUAACAAAUACGUAAUCAAAUUUAUCAGUCAAUUACAAUUAUUAUUUAAUAAUAAAAUUUUUAAAAAAAUUCAAUUACCUCAUAAUAGAACUGUUAAAGGAGGAAGACCAAUGAUAAAGAGAGGAAAGUCAGGGAAAUGGUUAUGGUUAAGUCCGGAUUGGAAACCAAAAUGGUUAAAGAAGAAAACGAAGCUAACUUUAGAGGAUGAGUGGAGGUGUGUUCCUGACAAAAAUGUCCCUUUUUGGAAUUAAAAUAAAAAAAUAAGAAAAUAAAAACA
rnacentral:lncRNA from 1 species